CGGGGUGAGUAGUGUCUGGGAAACUGCCUGAUGGAGGGGGAUAACUGCUGGAAACGGUAGCUAAUACCGCAUAACGUCGCAAGACCAAAGAGGGGGACCUUCGGGCCUCUUGCCAUCGGAUGUGCCCAGAUGGGAUUAGCUAGUAGGUGGGGUAACGGCUCACCUAGGCGACGAUCCCUAGCUGGUCUGAGAGGAUGCCAGCCACACUGGAACUGAGACACGGUCCAG
rnacentral:rRNA from 1 species